AGUGAACGCUGGCGGUAGGCCUAACACAUGCAAGUCGAACGGCAGCACAGUAAGAGCUUGCUCUUACGGGUGGCGAGUGGCGGACGGGUGAGGAAUACAUCGGAAUCUACUUUUUCGUGGGGGAUAACGUAGGGAAACUUACGCUAAUACCGCAUACGACCUACGGGUGAAAGCAGGGGAUCUUCGGACCUUGCGCGAUUGAAUGAGCCGAUGUCGGAUUAGCUAGUUGGCGGGGUAAAGGCCCACCAAGGCGACGAUCCGUAGCUGGUCUGAGAGGAUGAUCAGCCACACUGGAAGUGAGACACGGUCCAGACUCCUACGGGAGGCAGCAGUGGGGAAUAUUGGACAAUGGGCGCAAGCCUGAUCCAGCCAGACCGCGUGGGUGAAGAAGGCCUUCGGGUUGUAAAGCCCUUUUGUUGGGAAAGAAAAGCAGCAGGUUAAUACCCCGCUGUUCUGACGGUACCCAAAGAAUAAGCACCGGCUAACUUCGUG
rnacentral:rRNA from 1 species